rnacentral:misc_RNA from 1 species
AAGUCGUAACAAGGUUUCCGUAGGUGAACCUGCGGAAGGAUCAUUAUCACGUUAUCCACGUAUCAACCAUUGUGAACUAGUCUGUGACCUUUGAAUUUUUUUGAUGAAAUGUUGUUGUAAACCGUUAUCAAACAAUUAACUGAUUGGAAAUUGUUGAGGUUUAUGACAAAUCUAACAAUUAAGUUUGUUAGCAUCAUUUAAUUCAAAGUGUAUUUUUUUUCCAAUCAAAUUUCAUUAACCAUUUAAACCCAAAAUUUUUAUAAAUUUUGAACUGAUUUAAUUUCUUACUCUCGUUUAUUUCGGGAGAAGAAAUAAAUUCAUUACGAAACAUAAGAACAACUCUUAGCAACGGAUAUCUUGGUUCUCGUAACGAUGAAGAAUGCAGC